rnacentral:rRNA from 1 species
GGCUUGGUAAUUGGAAUGAGGGAGAGUUAAACGGACCAUCGAGUAUCCAUUGGAGGGCAAGUCUGGUGCCAGCAGCUGCGGUAAUACCAGCUCCAAUAGCGUAUAUUAAAGUUGUUGCAGUUAAAAAGCUCGUAGUUGGACUUGUGUGCGCUGUCCGCGGGUGGCCUGCGCCCAAAAGGGCGUUUCGGUUCGGCCCCGGUGGCGCCUUGAAAUCUGCAGCUGGGGGGACGUUGGCCUUAACUGGUCGGCGACCGCACGCCGGCUGCUCGGUUACUGUGAGAAAAUUAGAGUGUUCAAGGCAGGCAUUGGGUGCAAUUGAAUACAUUAGCAUGGAAUAAUAAAAUAUGGCUCCUGCCGUAUUUUGUUGGUUUUGACUGGUGGGAGUAAUGAUUGAUAGGGACGGUUGGGGGUGCUAGUAUUGAGCGGCCAGAGGUGAAAUUCAUGGAUUCGCUCAAGACUAACUUAUGCGAAAGCAUUCACCAAGGACGUCCUCUUUAAUCAAGAACGAAAGUUGGGGGAUCGAAGACGAUCAGAUACCGUCGUAGUCUCAACCGUAAACUAUGUCGACUUGGGACCGGCGGUAGUUUUUUCAUUAAGACACUGUCGGGACCACGGGAGAAAUCAAAGUGUCUGGACUCUGGGGGAAGUAUGGUCGCAAGGCUGAAACUUGAAGGAAUUGACGGAAGGGCACCACCAGGAGUGGAGCCUGCGGCUUAAUUUGACCCAACACGGGGAAACUUACCAGGUCCAGAGAUGUAGAGGAUUGACAGAUUGAAGCUCUUUCUUGAUCACUUCGGUGGUGGUGCAUGGCCGUUCUUAGUUGGUGGAGUGAUUUGUCUGGUUAAUUCCGUUAACGAACGAGACCUCAGCCUGCUAGUGUAGUCGGCUGGAUUGCCUUUGGCGAUCCGUGAUUUCGACUUCUUAGAGGGACAAUCGACGCGCAGUCGAUGGAAGUUUGAGGCAAUAACAGGUCUGUGAUGCCCUUAGAUGUUCUGGGCCGCACGCGCGCUACACUGCUGGGCUCAGCGAGUUUUACUUGGCCGAGAGGCCCGGUUAAUCUUGUGAAAUCCCAGCGUGCUUGGGCUCGCCUCCUGCAACUGGAGGCGCCAACGAGGAAUUCCUAGUAGACGCAGGUCAUCAACCUGCAUCGAUUACGUCCCUGCCCUUUGUACACACCGCCCGUCGUUCCAUAAGAGUGAGGCAUCCGGUGAAUUCUCGGGAGAGCCUGGGCGUGGCCAGCAAUGGUCUGCUCGGGUUUGAACUUGCAUAAACUUGGUGCCUAUGAUUAGGG